UUUCUGAGGAGCGUUGCGACGGAUAUUAUCCGCUAGGCUCAGAUAAAGACAAAACUAUUCCAACGGCGCUCGCUU
rnacentral:ncRNA from 1 species